rnacentral:rRNA from 1 species
GAUAGUGAACCAGUACCGUGAGGGAAAGGCGAAAAGAACCCCGGCGAGGGGAGUGAAAAAGAACCUGAAACCGUGUACGUACAAGCAGUGGGAGCCUCUUUAUGGGGUGACUGCGUACCUUUUGUAUAAUGGGUCAGCGACUUAUAUUCUGUAGCAAGGUUAACCGUAUAGGGGAGCCGAAGGGAAACCGAGUCUUAACUG